AUUGAACGCUGGCGGCAGGCUUAACACAUGCAAGUCGAACAAGUGGCGGACGGGUGAGUAAUGCAUGGGAAUCUAGCUUAUGGAGGGGGAUAACUACGGGAAACUGUAGCUAAUACCGCGUACCAUAGGCUGAGCCCCAGUGUGAUUAGGGAGUUGGUGAGGUAAAGGCUCACCAAGCCGACGAUCGCUAGCUGGUCUGAGAGGAUGACCUGCCACAUUGGGACUGGUAACCGGGCCCGGCUCCUCCGGGAGGCAGCAGUUGGGAAUCUUCCGCCAUGGACGAAAGUCUGACGGAGCAACGCCGCGGGAGUGAUGACGGCCUUCGGGUGGUAAAGCUCGUUAAGCGGGACGACGGUACCGGAAUAGAAAGCCACGGCUAACUACGUGCCAGCAGCCGCGGUAAUAC
rnacentral:rRNA from 1 species